rnacentral:rRNA from 1 species
CCUACGGGUGGCUGCAGUAAGGAAUAUUGGUCAAUGGAGGGAACUCUGAACCAGCCAUCCCGCGUGCAGGAUGAAGGGGCUCUGCCCUGUAAACUGCUUUUGAAUGGGACGAAAAAGCCUCACUUGUGAGGAACUGACGGUACCAUUAGAAUAAGCACCGGCUAACUCCGUGCCAGCAGCCGCGGUAAUACGGAGGGUGCAGGCAUUAUCCGGAAUCACGGGGUUGUAGGGGUGCGUAGACGUCUGUGGUGAAAGGCCGUAGCUUAACUAUGGGAGUGCCAUUGAUACUGUAUGACUUGAAUGAGGUUGAGGUUGGCGGAAUGUGGCAGGUAGCGGUGAAAUGCUUAGAUAUGCCAUGGAACAUCGAUUGCGAAGGCAGCUGACUGGACCUGAAUUGACGCUGAGGCACGAAAGCGUGGGGAGCGAACAGGAUUAGAUACCCGUGUAGUC